GACGAACGCUGGCGGCGUGCUUAACACAUGCAAGUCGAACGAAGAGCGAUGGAAGCUUGCUUCUAUCAAUCUUAGUGGCGAACGGGUGAGUAACGCGUAAUCAACCUGCCCUUCAGAGGGGGACAACAGUUGGAAACGACUGCUAAUACCGCAUACGAUCUAAUCUCGGCAUCGAGGAUAGAUGAAAGGUGGCCUCUACAUGUAAGCUAUCACUGAAGGAGGGGAUUGCGUCUGAUUAGCUAGUUGGAGGGGUAACGGCCCACCAAGGCGAUGAUCAGUAGCCGGUCUGAGAGGAUGAACGGCCACAUUGGGACUGAGACACGGCCCAGACUCCUACGGGAGGCAGCAGUGGGGAAUCUUCCGCAAUGGACGAAAGUCUGACGGAGCAACGCCGCGUGAGUGAUGACGGCCUUCGGGUUGUAAAGCUCUGUUAAUCGGGACGAAAGGCCUUCUUGCGAAUAGUGAGAAGGAUUGACGGUACCGGAAUAGAAAGCCAC
rnacentral:rRNA from 1 species